GAGAUGGGGUUGUCAUAAAAACGCACCCCUUAUUUAACAACGAAUAUAACCUUGUGGCGCCUUUUUAUUCCAACUCCUAAUG